rnacentral:rRNA from 1 species
AUGGAACGCUGGCGGCAGGCCUAACACAUGCAAGUCGAACGAGUGGCGGACGGGUGAGUAAUGUCUGGGAAACUGCCCGAUGGAGGGGGAUAACUACUGGAAACGGUAGCUAAUACCGCAUACCAUCGGAUGUGCACAGAUGGGAUUAGCUAGUAGGUGGGGUAACGGCGCACCUAGGCGACGAUCCCUAGCUGGUCUGAGAGGAUGACCAGCCACCCUGUAACUUAGACCCGGUCCAGCCUCCUACGGGAGGCAGCAGUGGGGAAUAUUGCACAAUUGGCGCAAUCCUGAUGCAGCCAUGCCGCGUGUAUGAAGAAGGCCUUCGGGUUGUAAAGUACUUUCAGCGAGGAGGCGUUACUCGCAGAAGAAGCACCGGCUAACUCCGUGCCAGCAGCCGCGGUAAUUC